AACUCUCUUCUAAUAAAACCCAUUAAGCCCAAUUCGAUGGAACCCAUAAAGAUUUGGAUCGAGCCCGGUCCUCUCUCAAUCUGAACGUUGGAAACGAACUCGAGAUGGUCGCGAUUCCCUCUCCAUACACUCGGCCACCUCCGGUCCACUAGUAGCCGCCACUCGUCUCCGAUUGCCGACCAACACGCACUCUUUGCAUUCGAAUCUCAGAGAGCAGAGCAGGGAGUAUAGAGAAGGAAUUCCCGUAUUGAGUAGCAAUUCUCUGUCGAUUUUUCCUCUUUGAAUCUUUGCCGCCCUCUCUGUCAGUGAUCGCAGCCGCAGGCCACCGCCGAGCACCACCAGCAUCGCGGCCACUGGAAGUGCUUCGUUCGCCCCUGUUUUCCGGCCAGCGUCUUCGACGUCCUCGGAGAUUGUUCGUUUCUCCUUCCCCGGGUCCGAUCAUCAUCCUCAUCGUCUCCGAUGAUGGCGGGGUCAGCACCUACACUUUCAAGACAAGGGGCACAAAUUCUUUCUUCUAGAUGUUGUAAAGUUGCGCUUGCUACACCGAAUCAAAGCGUGUGAUCAACAAAACUGUGUCUAUGGAGCCAAAGGGAGAAAGAAAGGCUUGACUUUCACUUGUGCUGUAAUAACCAGUAACAAGCUCGAACGUCGUGAAAUGCCUGUUGUUGAUGGAGGAAGCAGCUUGGGAAAAUCCAAUUAAGGCUCUUGGAGAGAGGAGAACUUAGAUCUUUCCUUUUUCUUAUCCUUCUCACCUGCAACCUCGCGAGCCGAGUGGAUCUCCUAAACAUCAUCAACGAAAGUGAGUGCAAGUUAGCCUUGGAUGCUCUCCUUUACUCCAGGAAAGGCCAAUAUUUAGUAUAGCCUGGUCCUCCCGUUUCGCCAACAAAUUGUGUCUUCCCAUACGGCUCUUCGAUGAUCAGUGAAUGACAUUACUUUCUAAGCAAAAAAGAAAAGAUAUAGUAAAACUGAUUAGUAAAUUGAAUAA